AACGGAGAGUUUGAUCCUGGCUCAGGACGAACGCUGGCGGUGUGCUUCACACAUGCAAGUCGAACGGGGUAGCAAUACCCAGUGGCGGACGGGUGAGUAACGCGUAGAAAUCUGCCUUGAGAUGGGGGAUAACAGUCCGAAAGGAUUGCUAAUACCGCAUAUGUAUGUGCUCGGACACGAGCGUAUAUGAAAGGAGUAAUCCGUCUUAAGAUGAGUCUGCGUCCGAUUAGCUAGUUGGUAGGGUAAAGGCCUACCAAGGCGACGAUCGGUAGCUGGUCUGAGAGGAUGAUCAGCCACAAUGGGACUGAGACACGGCCCAUACUCCUACGGGAGGCAGCAGUGGGGAAUUUUGUGCAAUGGGGGAAACCCUGACACAGCGACACCGCGUGAACGAAGAAGCCCUUUGGGGUGUAAAGUUCUGUCGGCUGGAACGAAAAAAAUGACGGUACCAGCAAAGGAAGCAUCGGCUAACUACGUGCCAGCAGCCGCGGUAAGACGUAGGAUGCAAGCGUUGUCCGGAUUUAUUGGGCGUAAAGAGUUCGUAGGCGGUUUGUUAAGUCUGAUGUUAAAGAUCGGGGCUCAACCUCGGGAGUGCAUUGGAUACUGGCAGACUGGAGUGUGGUAGAGGUUAGUGGAAUUCCCAGUGUAGCGGUGAAAUGCGUAGAUAUUGGGAAGAACACCAGUGGCGUAGGCGACUAACUGGGCCAUAACUGACGCUGAGGAACGAAAGCCAGGGGAGCGAAUGGGAUUAGAUACCCCAGUAGUCCUGGCCGUAAACGAUGGAUACUAGGCGUAGUGGGUAUCGACCCCUACUG
rnacentral:rRNA from 1 species